rnacentral:rRNA from 1 species
GAUGAACGCUGGCGGCGUGCCUAAUACAUGCAAGUCGAGCGAACAGACGAGGAGCUUGCUCCUCUGACGUUAGCGGCGGACGGGUGAGUAACACGUGGAUAACCUACCUAUAAGACUGGGAUAACUUCGGGAAACCGGAGCUAAUACCGGAUAAUAUAUUGAACCGCAUGGUUCAAUAGUGAAAGACGGUUUUGCUGUCACUUAUAGAUGGAUCCGCGCCGCAUUAGCUAGUUGGUAAGGUAACGGCUUACCAAGGCAACGAUGCGUAGCCGACCUGAGAGGGUGACCGGCCACACCGGAACUGAGACACGGUCCAGACUCCUACGGGAGGCAGCAGUAGGGAAUCUUCCGCAAUGGGCGCAAGCCUGACGGAGCAACGCCGCGUGAGUGAUGAAGGUCUUCGGAUCGUAAACCUCUGUUAUUCGGGAAGAACAAAUGUGUAAGUAACUAUGCACGUCUUGACGGUACCUAAUCAGAAAGCCACGGCUAACUACGUG